UAACGCGUGAGCAAUCUGCCUUUGGAUGGGGGAUAACAGCCGGAAGCGGCUGCUAAUACCGCAUAAUGCAACGGGACCGCAUGGUUCUGCUGCCAAAGAUUUAUUGUCCAAAGAUGAGCUCGCGUCUGAUUAGCCAGUUGGCGGGGUAACGGCCCACCAAAGCGACGAUCAGUAGCCGGACUGAGAGGUUGAACGGCCACAUUGGGACUGAGACACGGCCCAGACUCCUACGGGAGGCAGCAG
rnacentral:rRNA from 1 species